CCUACGGGAGGCAGCAGUGGGGGAUAUUGCACAAUGGGGGAAACCCUGAUGCAGCGAUGCCGCGUGAAUGAAGACGGCCUUCGGGUUGUAAAGUUCUGUCGCAGGGGACGAAAAUGACGGUACCCUGCAAGAAAGCUCCGGCUAACUACGUGCCAGCAGCCGCGGUAAUACGUAGGGAGCAAGCGUUGUCCGGAAUUACUGGGGGUAAAGGGAGCGUAGGCGGGAGGAUAAGUUGAAUGUGAAAUCUAUGGGCUCAACCCAUAGCUGCGUUCAAAACUGUUCUUCUUGAGUGAAGUAGAGGCAGGCGGAAUUCCUAGUGUAGCGGUAAAAUGCGUAAAUAUAUGUAAGAACACCAGUGGCGAAGGCGGCUUGCUGGGUCGAUACUGACAUUGAGGCACGAAAGCGUGGGGAGCAAACAGGAUUAGAUACCCUUGUAGUC
rnacentral:rRNA from 1 species